UACGGAGGGUGCGAGCGUUAAUCGGAAUCACUGGGCGUAAAGCGCGCGUAGGCGGUCCGUUAAGUGGGAUGUGAAAUCCCCGGGCUUAACCUGGGAAUUGCAUUUCAAACUGGCAGACUAGAGUGCGGUAGAGGGAGGUAGAAUUUCCUGUGUAGCGGUGAAAUGCGUAGAUAUAGGAAGGAACACCAGUGGCGAAGGCGACCACCUGGACUGAUACUGACACUGAGGUGCGAAAGCGUGGGGAGCAAACAGG
rnacentral:rRNA from 1 species